CGACUCCGUGAAGCUGGAUUCGCUAGUAAUCGCGCAUCAGCCAUGGCGCGGUGAAUACGUUCCCGGGCCUUGUACACACCGCCCGUCAAGCCAUGGAAGCCGGGGGCGCUUGAAGNGCGUUGCCGCAAGGCGCGCCCUAGAGCGAAACCGGUGACUGGGGCUAAGUCGUAACAAGGUAAC
rnacentral:rRNA from 1 species